rnacentral:lncRNA from 1 species
GGGAUGCCCGCGUGCGGGUGGCAAACUGAUAGAUACCCCGUGAUGUGACCCUGAGAACUGUCACAGUUGGUAUCAGAGCUUAGGUUUUAGAUCUUUGUAGUGUAUCUUAGGGUUGAAAUUUAGGAUGCCGGACUGUGGGACUGGUUUGAAAGUUAAGUGACCACUUGUAGGAAAAAAAAAAAUCAGAGCCGCUUCGCGUGGUAUCUGCGAAGGGUGAGAUUGGGUCAAAUGGUGUUAUGGUCUUUAUCAUAUGAAUGAGUAAAGGCUUAAGUACUCUUUUAGAGUGUAAGCUGUGAAUCAUGAAUGUGAUAGGUAUAAAUCUUUUAUCGUAAUACUUGGGAAAGACCAGAUAUGUAUGUUGGGUACGAAUCUCAAAUAUGGUGAUUUACUCUUGGGACUGGCCAGCUCGAGAUGUGUAUUAUCUUAUUUCGGAUUCUUGUACCCGAGUACUUAAGAGUUGAGAGUAAUGUUAAAAACUUAAGAUCUCCAUUUGCGAGAAACAAGAAUGGACUAAUGUUUCGUGAGAGCAAGUGCAAGAGGUCAACGGAUGUCCAAUUCAUGUAGUAAGAGAAAUGAGACAUCUGGCGCAGAAUAUUUUAACUGAGUGUGGGACAAUAUUGACUAGAGAGAAGUGGAAUGUAGUUGAGCCUAAGAGAGAGAGAGAUAGAGAAAGAUUGAUGGAUGGUCCUUUGUAACUCCAUAGGAUCCAAGAGUUUGAUAUGAGUUGGAAAUGAACCAAAAAAAAAAUUUAUUAGCCCCUUUUGGACUGAUGUAGUUAGAUUUAGCUGGAGUGAUG